CACCAAUCAGAAUUGAAUUUACACUCUCUUCCCUCACUCACUCCCAACCGUCCUCAUUCUUUCUCUCUCUCUUUAAUUAGUCAAAUUUUGUUUCUUCUCCACUACUCUUCCUCUCUCCUACGCGGGUCCCACUCCUACCAAUCAGAUAUUAUUUUCUUUUCUUUCUCUCCCUUCAUCCACUCCCUCAACCGCUCUCUCUCUCUUCCACCCUCCUCAUUCACGUUUCUUUUUCUUCCUUCCCACUACAGCUUCUUCUCUUUUUCCUCUGCAACUCACCCACAACACCUUCUUCUUCUUCAAUUUAUUUUUGUUGCAAAACCCAUCACCAUCACCUUCUCUUCUCUUCACCACAGCCCCAGUUACUCCUUCUCCUCCCUUAAGCUGAGCAUCAGCACCAUGUCCUUCUUCUCCUUCCAUGUGCAAACCACCAUGGCAUCACCCAAGCUAGCCACCACCGCCAGCAGCCACGGUGACGCCGCCACCUCCUUCAGCUGCGAGCACCACCACGUCCUCACCACCAUCACGUGACCAUGAACGAGCCACCUUGGUCACCACCACAAAACCCUAGCCGCCACCUUUUUCCUCCGAUCUCCGGCGACCCAUUAAGUUUUUGGAGAAACAAACACCACCAAUGAACUCCCCUCAUCAUCCGCAACAAAACCCCUCCAUCGAUUCGAUGAUCGGCCACCGUGACUCCGGCGACCGCCGUCGCCGCCGUCUUCUCCGGCAAGCUUUGUUCUGAGAAAGGAGGCCAAUUUCUUGAAGCUCUCAACCUCCUCUUCCUGAAUCUAAGGCUCAAUCAUCUUUAAGAGUUUCAAUGGCUACUGGAGGAAGGGGAGAGCCCGACCAGACCAGACCAGAGGAAGAAGUGAAGCUCAGUCCCAUGACCAUGAGACUUGAGGUAGAAGGAGAAAGAAUUGAACACUGUGUUUAGAAAUUAUAUGUUAAUUGAAAAGAUAAGAUUAUUGGUUGUAUGGUUUUUGUCAAUUGUUAGUCUAGGGUUAAUAUAUUUUUCUGAUUUGGAAAAUAGAAAUUGGAUUUUAGUUUUACAAAAUGUAUCAUGGUGCUGCUGUAUUUCUUUUAUAUAUAGGAAGCCUUGUACUUUAGCCCUUUGUGAAUUGAAGUACAAAGGUUAGGUUUUCAGAAUGAAAACUUAGUAGGAUUUACGAACUCUUGAACUCGUUCUUAAGCUGUGUUAACAAAUGAAUUUGAAGAAGUUUUCUUCAUAAGAAUUGUAGAUCUUUUUGUUAGAAAA